GGAAAUGUGGCGUUCGGGAGUGAGCGUGCCGGGUUCGCGCCGUCGACGGCAAGUCCCCCUGACUGGGGCCUAUCCAUAGCGGGUGCGAGGCCCAUAGCCGUCCGGCGCGUCCCGGAAUGCGAUCUCCUUGGAGUCGGGUUGCUUGGGAGUGCAGCCCUAAUAGGGUGGUAAACUCCACCUAAGGCUAAAUACCGCCGUGAGACCGAUAGCAAACAAGUACCGUGAGGGAAAGUUGCAAAGAACUUUGAAGAGAGAGUUCAAGAGUACGUGAAACUGCUCAGAGGUAAACGGGUGGGCCCUCGAAAUCCUGUGGCGAGAGGAUUCAGUCUGUGGGGUCGUGCGCGCUGGACCGUGCAGGGCUUCCCCGAUCGGGGCGCCCUCCGGUCGCGCGGUCGCGGCCCCUCAGACGCAUUUGACUCUCGUCCUGAGGACGCUGCAGCCGGCGGGGCAGUGGAAAACGUGACGUCCUGAAGGGCGGGAGAUGGCAGGUGGCCGGUGGCUCGCACUCGGCGCGCCGCCGGUUGAUAGCCGUCCCGUCAGUGGACCGUCGCCCCGCCGUGGUUGCUGGGCCCCUAGCGGGCCCGUUACUCCGUCUCUACGCAAGCGGGCAGGAUCGUCGCUGGAGCGCGCAGCCGACACGUCGCACUCACCACGUGUGGACGGUCGAGUUAGUGCGCGCCGCAGGCGGCGGCAGGGCCCGAGGAGACCGGAGGCUCGCAGCGAGUAGGUCGGUCACCCACCCGGCCCGUCUUGAAACACGGACCAAGGAGUCUAACAUGUGCGCGAGUCAAUGGGUCUUGAACAGGCCCAGAGGCGCAAUGAAAGCAAAGGUCGGCCGAGUGCCGUCCGAGUUGGGAUCCCCGUCGAGAGGCGGGGCGCACCAACGACCCGUCCCGUCCGGCUCGCCGGUGGGGCGGUGUGUGA
rnacentral:rRNA from 1 species